AUCCCAUGAUGUGGACAUCUCCUUUGCAAAUCCUUGUACCUCUCCCAUGCUUCAUACAAGCUCUCAUCAUCUCUAGGUUUAAAGAAGUCACUCAUUCCUCGACUUAGUCU